UGUGUAACACCCCAAAAUUUGCCCUCCUCAUUCAUGCAUUCAUUUUUAGGUCAUUUAACAUUUCAUAUUGCAUUUCAUCAUGUCAAUCAAAAUCAGAUCCAAGAAAUUUUAUUUUAAAAAAAAAAAAUUAAAUAAAUAAAUAAAUAAAAUAAAAUAUAACAGAAAAAAAUUUGGACUUGGGUCUCUCUCAUUUGAGCCCACAAAGCCAUGAAAUUCAGUCUAUAAAUACCAAGGCUUCACUUAAGAAAAAGGAAGAGAAGCAAAAUACUCUGAGGUUUCCUUGGGACAAAACCUGGAGAGAAACCUGACAGAGAACUCAGAGCAGCCUCCAAACCCUGAAGGGAAC
rnacentral:lncRNA from 1 species